rnacentral:rRNA from 1 species
AAAGAAACCAACAGGGAUUGCCUCAGUAACGGCGAGUGAAGCGGCAAAAGCUCAAAUUUGAAAUCCUUCGGGAGUUGUAAUUUGUAGGUUGGGAGACCCCGCGGCUAGUGGCACCAAGUCCCUUGGAACAGGGCGCCUUAGAGGGUGAGAGCCCCGUAGGUACCACAAUACCGUCUUGUGUCUCCUCUCCAAAGAGUCGAGUUGUUUGGGAAUGCAGCUCAAAGUGGGUGGUAAAUUCCAUCUAAAGCUAAAUACCGGCGAGAGACCGAUAGCGAACAAGUACAGUGAUGGAAAGAUGAAAAGCACUUUGAAAAGAGAGUGAAACAGUACGUGAAAUUGUUGAAAGGGAAGGGCUUGCAAGCAGACACGGCCUUCGUGCCGGGCCAGCAUCGGUUGCUAGGGGUGGAUAAGGAACAAGGAAUGUAGCUCCUCGGAGUAUUAUAGCCUUGCGCGAUACACCCACUGGCGACCGAGGCCUGCGGUAUUCUUUACCUAGGAUGCUGGCGUAAUGGUUGCAAGCCGCCCG